GUCUCCACUUCAAGUAUUCGUCAAUUUUCUGAGUAGAAGAAUACAAAAAUGGCGGAGAUUAUUCUAAGUUACGUCGUGGAACAAACUCUCACUCGGAUCCUUGCUCUUGUCGCCGGCGAGAUCGAACUUUUCCGGUACCUUGGCGAUGAGCUGGAUCGCCUCAAAAACUCAGUCGAUGAAGUUCGUGAUAUUCUAUUGGUUGCUGAAGAGAAACAGGAAACUCUUAACCUUAAGAGUGUGAAUCGCUGGCUGAAUCAGCUCAAAGAAGCAGCUUAUGAUGCUGAAGAUAUUCUUGACGAGGUAAUCAUUGAGGAUCUUCGUCGAAAAGUCGAAAAGACGGUACGGAAACUUAAUCCAAUCUCCAAAAUCACUCGUUUUACUAAAAAUGCUGGUUGUCGCACAAAAUUUGCUCGUAAAAUUAGGGAUGUGAAUGAGUUGUUGGAUAAGAUUAAGAACGCCAGUGCUUUUGGACUUCAUGUCAUCACUAGAGAAAGAAUAGUGUCACGGAUUGACUUUAACCGAGUUACUGACUCGGUACCUGAAAACCCUAUUCUUGGGAGGGAGGGUGAUGUGUCCAAAAUUGUUAACUUGUUGACUAGCUCUUGUGAUCAACAAGUUCUUGCCGUCAUUCCCAUUGUGGGAAUGGGCGGUCUUGGAAAGACCGCGUUAGCUCAAUCAAUUUGCGAGAAUGUAAUGGGAAAUUUGUUUGAUGUAAAGAUUUGGGUUUGUGUUUCGGAUAAUGCUAAUGACCACAAAAUUCUUGGAGAAAUGUUGCAAACUCUUAAUGGAGAUAGAGGUGGGUUAACUAACAAAGAAGCCAUUCUUCAACAGCUGGAAAAGGAAUUAGAGAGGAAAAAAUUUCUUCUCAUUCUUGAUGAUGUAUGGGAAGAUGUAUCUACUUGGUGGGAUAGUUUGAAGACGCGUUUGUUGAGAACCAAUCGCGGUAAGGGAAAUGCUAUUAUUGUCACCACUCGUAGUGAGGAAGUGGCGUCUUUGGUGGAGUCUUCAUAUGAGCUUAGGCAUAAUUUGAAUGUGUUGAGUGAUGAUGAUUGCUGGUCCAUUAUCGAGGAAAGAGUGAAAGCGAAUGGAGAAAUGCCUAUUUCUUCAGCUUUGGAGGUGAUUGGGAAGGAGAUUGCAAAAAAAUGUAGAGGAGUACCCUUAGCUGCAAAAGUUUUAGGUGGGACAUUAAGUGGUCUUGAGAGGAAAAAAGAAGCUUGGCUGUUGAUUAACAAUAACAAAGUUUUGGAUGCUUCUGAUCAUAAGGAUAAUGUGAAGUCUAUAUUGAAACUAAGUUUUGAUCAUUUACCUUCAUACCUGAAACAAUGCUUUGCAUACUGUUCAAUUUUUCAUAAAGAUUAUUCGCUUCAAAAAGAACAAUUAAUUCAGCUUUGGAUGGCUGAAGGUUUUGUUGAGCCAUGCAAUGCAGAUGUGGGCAGUAAGUACUUUAAUGCCUUACUCUGUAACUCUUUCUUUCAAGAUGUGGGAAGGGAUGAAUUUGAGAAUAUAGUAAGUUGCAAGAUGCAUGAUAUUGUGCACGACCUUGCGAUGUCUCUUUCUAAGCUGGAAGUAUUGACUUCAGAUAACUUUUCAUCACAAGAUGAUUUGUCUUGCAUUCGCCGUAUUAAUUUAAAAAGUCAAAAUGCAUUUUAUUUAAGUGUGGUUCAUGCUCGAAAAUUACGCACUGUCUUUUUACGGAAGGAUACAGUCCUUGAUAAGUCAUGGUGGAAGUUCAAAAACUUGCGGACUCUAACCUUGAAAGGCAGUGAUAUUGAAGAGUUGCCAUUUCCAGUUGGUGACUGUAAACUCUUGAGAUAUCUCGAUGUCUCAUACACUAAACUUAAAGCGUUGCCUGAAUCUAUCACCACUCUUUAUGGUUUGCAAACUUUGAGAUUCCUUGGAUGCUGGUCACUUAAGGAGCUUCCUAGAGAUAAAAUGAGCAAUCUAGUGAGCUUGAAGAAUCUUGAAUUUUCUGAGGAUGAGCAGAUGCCGAGUGGGUUGGGGAGGUUAACUUGCCUUGAAAGGUUGCCAUUAUUUGUUGUGGGUAGUAAUUGGGGAGGGAGCAUUCAAGAAUUAGAAAGCUUAAAUGAACUAAGAGAAGAGUUGACCUUAAACCAUCUCGAGAAUGUGAGAGGUAAAGAAGAAGCCGAGAAAACGAAUCUAAAGAAGAAGCAGAAGAUAACAUCCUUGAAAUUUGUAUGGACUCGUGGAUCUAUAGAAAAUAGCAACAAUGAAGAAGUGUUGGAAGCACUAGAGCCUCAUCCAAACAUUGAGAGCAUAAAGAUUGAGGCUUAUUUGGGUGAAAAUUUUCCAGCGUGGGUAUUGAUGAUGCAAGUUCCCGAUGAAGGUGGUAGUUCCACACUAUUUAAUAACUUGGUAAAGCUGACAUUAAAACACUGUAGUGAAUGUGAACAAAUCCCAAGUCUCGGAUAUCUUCAAAAUCUUAAAUAUCUCAAGAUAAGCUGGAUGAAGAAACUAAAAAUUAUAGGCAAUGGAUUUUAUGGCAUUGAUAGUGGUGGUGGCACAAGCAAUGGACAAAGGCUGUUUCCUGCAUUAAAAAGUAUCAAUUUAAGUAAUUUAGAGAAUCUAUUUGAAUGGAGGGCACCAGAGCUAGGCGAUAGUAAGGCAGUUGUUGUUUUUCCUUGCCUUGAAGAGUUGAGAAUCGACGCCUGUUCAAAUUUGACAAAGAUCCCAAUGCAAAGUCUUCCUUUUUCCCUCUUAGAACUGAGAGUUGAACGGUGUGACCAGUUGAAUUAUUUAUUUGAUGAAAUCCAAUCGUUCACUUGUCUUCAAAGUUUGACGAUGAUUGGAUGCAGUAAACUAACUUGUCUUCCAAGCACGCUGCAAUCCUUGACGUUGUUGGAGAAAUUGUCAGUCCGUGAUUGUAUUGGGCUUACAUCUAUUCAUGAAGACUUGGGGAGAUUGAAUUCUCUAAUUUUUUUGGAAAUCAGAAACUGUAAAAGUUUGAGUAAUUUUUCUGAGAAGAUUUUAGGCAGUCUCACCGGAUUGAAGCGUUUGAAAGUUGGAAAUUUCUCAGAAAAGUUAGAAGAUUGCUCUUAUAUGAACUCAAUCCAGAACAUUGCUUGUCUUGAAAGAUUAGAAAUAUAUGGUCAUAAUCUGAAGUCUCUACCAGAUCAAAUUCAAUGGCUCACUUCCCUCAGGUAUUUGGAUAUAUGGAGUUUUGAUAAAUUGGAAGCUUUGCCAGAGUGGUUGGGCAAUAUUUCCUCUCUUCAGGACCUUGUUAUUGCUAAAUGUUGUAAUCUGAAGAAUCUACCAACAGCAGCAGCAGUGAAACGCCUCUCUAAAUUGAGAAGUCUUGGUAUUUAUGGUUGUUCUCCAUAUCUUAUGGAAAAUUGCAAGAACAAGAGUGGCUCUGAGUGGGAUAAGAUUUCUCAUAUUCCCGACCUCCAUUUCCCAAGUGAUCAGGAAUGAUGUUGCUAAUAAACAGAGAGUGACAGUGGAGAACUUGAGAAUUAUUGGCUCGGGAUAGAUGGUUCAAAGUUGCCAUACCUUUCCCAAGAUAAACCCCUUCGUCCUCCCAACCGCUCUUUGUCUCUUACUUAUAUUUACUAUAAGUUUUCUGCAGUCGCAAUGUUUCAUUGUGCCCAGAUUUUUCUUCGCCGUAUAUUUUUGGUGGGAUUCUUGCUGGGGGGGCUUAAUCUGAUUUAAUAUCGGGAAUUUGAUCUUUUGUGACUGCAUGAGAUGAGAUGAGUUUGGUAAGACUGUUGAACUGCUUGCUUGCGUAUUUGCUCAUCGGAAGUCAGAGUCCGAGGAUAACAUCUUCAUUCAUAAUGCAUGGGAUGAUGGGAAGAUACUGGACUAUGGGUACAGUGUGACGUUUGUGAUGCUUGGCAACAUGCAGAUUGUGUUGGUACAAAAACAUAGAAAUAAAACUAGAGUCAACUUUGUUUAGAGAUACGGAGAGCUUGUUUGUAGGAUGUGCUCUGAAUUGAUACAAGCUACUCACUCUCCCAUUGACACUCUUAUUGUCUGUCCAGCUCCUAUAUUGCCCUAGUGGUGUUCUGAAAUUGCACGGCUCUUUAGAAACCUAUGUAUACGAAGGUGUGAGGGAUGUUUAAAAAAAAAUUCAUCUGUAAUAGAUAUUAAUGAACUUGUCAAUGCGGACAUCGCACUGACAACAUUUGAUGUGCUUAAAGAGGAUUUAUCACAUGACUCUAAUAGGCAUGAAGGUGAUCCGCACUUCCUGAGACUUUAGAAGAGGAUAUUUUGGUGGAGAGUAUGCUUGGAUGAGGCUCAAAUGGCAGAGAGUAAUGCAGCAGCAGCCGCAGCUGAAAUGGCUUUUCGAUUGUCUGCUAAGUACCGCUGGUGUGUUACAGGCACUCCAAUACACCUAAAUCAGUUCUCAAAAUGUUGCUGCUUUAAAGUACCAUAUUCAGACUCGGCUCGAACAGUUGGAAGCCUCUAGGAAAAUAUUUCUUGAUCGAGUAUGAUCGAUGCAUCAUCGGAGCCGCUUUUCAGCGAGGCAGACUUUGGUUAUGGUUGUUCUAGUCAAUGGAUCGAACAAAGACCCUGACCCUUAUCGUAACACUUCAAGAUCGACUUAUGUAUUUAAUAUAUGACAAAGGUGGAGUGUUGGAGUAUUUCUAUUGAUUGGAAGAUCCUGACUCUCAGUGAUGGGUGUAAUCGAGUCCCGUACUUAUGUGUACCAUCGCUAUGAGGUCCCUCCAUGAACUGAUGUCGUUUCGAGCCGGUAUUCACAAUGACAUUCAGGCCUAUUUUACAAAAGUGUUAAUCUAAAUGUUCCGAAAGUGGCAGUGUUAUGAUGUACAUCCUCACCAAUCAAAAUCAGCAGCACCACCAAUCUCCUCCUCCUUCCAUUCCUAGCGGAGCUGCAGCAUCUCCUGUCCCGGCAGCCAACUUAUGUCCAAUUGCAAGGCGCUGUCCAACCCCAGCUCGAAGUCACUCCUAUCACCAGUCCUAAUCUCGUUGUGCAGCAGCUAGCUGCCUCGAGAAAUUUGGAUCUGACAUUCAGUUUAACUCAUCGGAAAUGAUAUAUGGAAGUUCUCACAGAAUCUAUUGCCUGAACUGGCUAAUGCCAAGGAUGUACUUCAAUUGAUCGGUCUAUUGCAUUCCUAUACUUUGUAGAGUAGAUUGUUUCUUUUUAAAUUCUAAGGUGUUAUCUUAUUUACUGUGUAAAUUUAACACUAUUGUUUCUGUAUAAUUUUGAUAGAGGCUUAUGACUUUGAUUUUGGAUUAA